UGUGACCUCAAGUAUGUUCCAAAUUUCAGAGCAAACAAUUUCAACAUUUCACCAUUAAGUACCAUGUUUCAUGCAUUUUAAAAAGAUACUCUUAACAAAUUAGUUUCUACCCCUAGUUUGAUAAGAAUUCUUCUUAUACUGUAAGUAGACUUUUCUGAACCUUUACAUCUAAGAUAAUGAUGAUUUUUUCCCUUUCUUCUGCCAAUAUGAUGAAUUACCUUGGUUGAUUGUUUGUGUGUGUGUGUGUGUGAAAAUAAUCAUAAGAUAAGCUCAAUUUGAUUGUCAUGUAUCCUUUUAUAUUUUGUUGGUUGCUUGCUGUUAUUUUGCUUGAUAACCUAAACUUCUAUGCAAGAUUUAUUAAUUUGCAGCAUUAAGUGUUUUUCACAACAACUAAAAAAUAGAAUGGAUAAAUUGCAAAAUUAUAUUAGUAAAAUUAUCGGAGUUGUGGCACAAAGAACAGGUGAACCAAAUUCUAGAGAAAUCUUCUUCUAGAACCAAAAUUCUAGAAGAAGUCUUCCUAAGUAAGCUAAUGGUUGUCUUUGUUUUCUUCCCCAAUGGACUUGACACAGGCAGAGAGACACUAAUGGAAGAAAAAGAAGCCCUCAGGAUUUUUGACAGUCAAGAAGGGCUGAUAUGACCUAUUAGAAACUGGAAGAGUCCAAGUUUUUUUUUCCCUCUUGCUGACUUUAAGGAUAAUCUGUGAGACUAUGAGGCCAGAAAAGCAGAUUGAAAUCCCUCAUUGUCUUGUAGCACUUAAAGGGGAAAAGAUGUUAUUAAGGGGAAGGAGUCUAUCACUAAUUACAACUAGUUGCUUCCUCGGGUGUAUGUACAUAAGUGUAUUAGUUUACUAGGGAUGUCAUAACAAAGUACCACACACUGGGUAGUUUAGAAAACAAUUCUAGAAGCUAGAAAUCCAAGAUUAAGGCAUCAGUUGGAUUAUUUUUUUCUGAGGUUUCUAUCCUGUCUUGUAGAUCAAGAUCUUCGUAUCUCUUCAUAUGGUCUUCCUUCUGUAUCUGCGCCCUAAUCCAGCAUGUUGGAUUACAGCCCACCAUAAUGAACCCAUUUUAAUUUAAUUACCUCUUUAAAGAACUUAUCUUGAAAUCAUAUCAUACUAUGAGGUAAUUGGGGGUUGAGCUCAAUCAUGAAUUUGGUAGGGGGAAGGCACAAUUCAGCCCAUAACAACAGAAGCCAAAGAGUUAAGCUCAAAACUCUUAAGGACAAAACUUUAGGUUUUUAAAAACAAGCUCAAUCUGAGCACAGUGACACACACCUGUAAUCCUAGCAGCUUGGGAGGUUGAGGCAGGAGAAUCAUGAGUUCAAAGCCAUCCUCAGCAAUUUAGCAAUGCCCUAGCAACUCGGCAAGACCCUGCUUCUCAAUAAAAUAUAUAUAUAUAUAAAAAGCUGGGGAUGUGGCUCAGUGAUUAUGUGUCCCAGGUUCAAUCCCCUGUACCAAAAAAUAAAAAAUAAAAACAAGCUCUCAAAAGCCCUGACCCACUUCAGUUACUGAUUAAAUUGGGGUGAUCUGUCUUUUAGUCUAUCUGCCUAACAGGAAAAUGAGAACCCUCAGUAAUGGGAGAUGUCAAUUGGAACCUUCUUUUACAUACAAGAUCUGUCUUUGCAUGCUUGCUCUGACAUGCUCAGGCAUCUCCAAGUGUUUUGUGUGUAUUCACAAUUAACCCUUGCAAAAUCCCAUCUGAGUUUUAUGAGGAGAUAAUGCAUUGCAUUUUGUAAUAUCUUAGUCUUUCAUAGUUUUGCAAAGCUCUCUAUUUACAUAUAUAUUGCCCAAGGUUAUUUUAAAGUGAAGUAACCACCCUAAGAUUUACAUUUGGCUAUUUUAUCAUCAUGGUCCUUGAUCUUUCUACUGUAUUUGACUAGUUCCUGACUUACUGCAAAUUAUAGCAUGUUGAAACUCAACUGUCCCUUAGCUCCUUCGCCUCAGCAACUGUGAUUCACCAAAUUGGCUUUGUCAAACCCUAAAAAGAUUUUUAAUUGCAGAUUUAAUUUGUUUAGGAGUUUUUUAAUUGAUUUGUUUUUCUCUUUCUUCUUGUAACAAUUUUGGAGAAUAGAGUCCUGUUAGAAAUCUUCCCCUUUCAUCUAAAAUUUCAAAGUUAUAACAGUAAAGUUAUUUAUAAUAUCCUUUUUAUGAUUUCUAACUGUCUAAAGUAUUUGUAAUAAAGAUUAGUAAAUACUAGACAUCUGAAAAUUCUGUUUACCACUGGUAAAGGUUAAUAAUCUGAAGUAUCUUCAAGUAUCUUCUUUCUUCCUGAUGAGUCUUAUCAGAGUUUAUUAUUUUCAUUAGCUUUUCUUUUUUAUAAAAAAAUUGUAUUUUGGUUGUGUUAAUUUUCCCAUUAUGUGUGUGUUUUUAUUGUGUGGACUUUUUGUUUUUAUCGUUAUCUUUACUUUUUUUGGGUUCCUUUUCUGCUCUUUUUCUAAUUUCGUGUGUGUGUGUGUGGGGGGGAAGAUUGAGUUUAUUUUUGCCUGUGUGUGUGUGUGUGUGUGUGUGUGUGUGAGUUGCUAGGACUCAACUUGGGACCUCACACAUACUAGGCUAAUGGUCUACCACUAAGCCACAUCACCACCCCUCUCUAAUUUCUUGAGAGGUAUAUCUAAAUAUCUAAUUAUGCUUAAUCAUUUUUCUCUGAACAAUGGCACAUUUAGAAAUAUGUUUCUUAUAUUUAUAAAUUUAUUGAUCUUCUCUUUUUAUAUUUAUUUUUAGCUCAAUCCCAUUAUAGAUAGAGAAUAUUUUCUAUGCCUUUUCAUUUCUUUGAUAUUUGUUGAAAUGUGCUUUGUGGUCCAGCAUUUAGUCAAAUUUGCUACAUACUUGAAAAGUUUUACUUUUCCCUCAGUUCUUCUGUUCAUGCCUAAAAGCCCUUUGUGGUUUAUAUCUUGACAAAUAACUACAUAAUGCCAUUCCCCAGGUCCAGAAAUAGAAUUCUAUCAGUACCCUAGAAACCACAUACAUAUGUAUGCCUAUGUCAUCACAGUCCUAUUCUUUCCCCAUGAUACAAUCAUUGCCUGACUUCUGAUACAGUAAUUUCUUGCUUCUCUUUAUAAAUUUACUGUGAAUGCAUCUCUAAGCAAGAGUUUAUUUUUGCCUGUGUGUAUGUAUGUGUGUGUGUGUGUGUGUGUGUGUGAUUGAACUUGGGGAAAAUUAGCUAUUGUGAAUUGUGCUGCUAUAAACAUUGAUGUGACUUCAUUACUGUAGUAUGCUGAUUUUAACUCCUUUGGAUACAUACUGAGAGCAGGAGUAAUGGUGGUUUCAUUCCUAAUUUUUUGAGGAAUCUCCAUACUGUUUUCCAGAGUGGUUGAACCAAUUUGCAGUCCCACCAACAAGGUAUGAGUGUAUGAGUGUACCCUUUUCCCCACAUUCUUGCCAACAUUUUUGUUACUUCUAUACUUGAUAAUUGCCAUUCUGGUUGACAU
rnacentral:lncRNA from 1 species